CCUACGGGAGGCAGCAGUGAGGAAUAUUGGUCAAUGGGCGCGAGCCUGAACCAGCCAAGUCGCGUGAGGGAGGACGGCCCUACGGGUUGUAAACCUCUUUUGCCGGGGAGCAACCGGCGUCACGUGUGGCGCCACUGAGAGUACCCGGAGAAAAAGCCUCGGCUAACUCCGUGCCAGCAGCCGCGGUAAUACGGAGGAUGCGAGCGGUCUCCGGAUUUAUUGGGUUUAAAGGGUGCGUAGGCGGAUCGUUAAGUCAGGGGUCAAAUUGUGGGGCUCAACCCCUUCCCGCCAUUGAAACUGGCGUUCUUGAGUGGAAGAGAAGUAUGCGGAAUGCGUGGUGUAGCGGUGAAAUGCAUAGAUAUCACGCAGAACCCCGAUUGCGAAGGCAGCAUGCCGGCUUCCGACUGACGCUGAAGCACGAAAGCGUGGGGAUCGAACAGGAUUAGAUACCCCUGUAGUC
rnacentral:rRNA from 1 species